AUUGAACGCUGGCGGCAGGCUUAACACAUGCAAGUCGAGCGGGGUGAUGGUGCUUGCACUAUCACUUAGCGGCGGACGGGUGAGUAAUGCUUAGGAAUCUGCCUAUUAGUGGGGGACAACAUCUCGAAAGGGAUGCUAAUACCGCAACCGUCCCACGGGAGAAAGCAGGGGAUCUUUAUGACCUUGCGCUAAUAGAGGAGCCUAAGGCGGAUUAGCUAGUUGGUGGGGUAAAGGCCUACCAAGGCGACGAUCUGUAGCGGGUCUGAGAGGAUGAUCCGCCACACUGGGACUGAGACACGGCCCAGACUCCUACGGGAGGCAGCAGUGGGGAAUAUUGGACAAUGGGGGGAACCCUGAUCCAGCCAUGCCGCGUGUGUGAAGAAGGCCUUAUGGUUGUAAAGCACUUUAAGCGAGGAGGAGGCUCUUUUGGUUAAUACCCAAGAUGAGUGGACGUUACUCGCAGAAUAAGCACCGGCUAACUCUGUGCCAGCAGCCGCCGCGG
rnacentral:rRNA from 1 species